UCAGAGUUGUAAUAUAUUGAU
rnacentral:miRNA from 1 species